CCCAGUUCGGAUUGUAGUCUGCAACUCGACUACAUGAAGCCGGAAUCGCUAGUAAUCGCGGAUCAGAAUGCCGCGGUGAAUACGUUCCCGGGUCUUGUACACACCGCCCGUCACACCAUGGGAGCCGGAAAUGCCCGAAGUCAGUGACCCAACCAAUAAGGAGGGAGCUGCCGAAGGCAGGUCUGGUGACUGGGGUGAAGUCGUAACAAGGUAAC
rnacentral:rRNA from 1 species